rnacentral:rRNA from 1 species
GAUGAACGCUGGCGGCGUGCCUAAUACAUGCAAGUCGAGCGAACAGACGAGGCGCUUGCUCCUCUUACGUUAGCGGCGGACGGGUGAGUAACACGUGUAUAACCUACCUAUAAGACUGGGAUAACUUCGGGAAACCGGAUCUAAUACCGGAUAAUAUAUUGAACCUCAUGGUUCAAUAGUGAAAGACGGUUUUGCUGUCACUUAUAGAUGGAUCCGCGCCGCAUUAGCUAGUUGGUAAGGUAACGGCUUACCAAGGCAACGAUGCGUAGCCGACCUGAGAGGGUGAUCGGCCACACUGGAACUGAGACACGGUCCAGACUCCUACGGGAGGCAGCAGUAGGGAAUCUUCCGCAAUGGGCGAAAGCCUGACGGAGCAACGCCGCGUGAGUGAUGAAGGUCUUCGGAUCGUAAAACUCUGUUAUUAGGGAAGAACAAAUGUGUAAGUAACUAUGCACGUCUUGACGGUACCUAAUCAGAAAGCCACGGCUAACUACGUG